AAGUGGGUGAGAGGAGUAAAGAAUAGGGAGAAAAGAGGAAGAAGGAAGAGGAAGGAAGUUUUCCCCUUGGAUUUUGGAGUCGCAUCUUGCUUGGCCAUUGUCGGAAUUGUGACCGGUGACUUGAGAUCUUCAUUUUGAGGGAAACAAAGGUUGAAGGAUUUUAAGGUGACAUUUGAGGUUGGGAAAAAGAUUUCCAAGAUUUGGGGUUUUACAAGUAAAGAUGAUUUUGCAGGCUAUUCAGUAGAGAAACCUGUGUCAAGUCCUACCGACAAAACCCCAAUGAGGGAUUGGUGGGUCCCUGAAAGAUUUGAACACGAUGAAGAUUGCCCAUGUGAGAGUUAUGUUGCUAGGCAACAAUGAUAGAUUCGAUUUGAUGUACUUUUAAUUAUGUUGGUAUAUUUUCUUUUUGUGCUGUCGAUAUUUAAAUUGUUAUUUCUUGUGUAAACAUGUAAAUAUUUUAUGUAUAACAAUUUGGGUAUCAAGAGUAUAUGGGAAUUUCAGGUUAUU